rnacentral:rRNA from 1 species
UACGAAGGGGGCUAGCGUUGUUCGGAAUCACUGGGCGUAAAGCGCACGUAGGCGGAUUUUUAAGUCAGGGGUGAAAUCCCGAGGCUCAACCUCGGAACUGCCUUUGAUACUGGGGAUCUGGAGUCCGGGAGAGGUGAGCGGAACUGCGAGUGUAGAGGUGAAAUUCGUAGAUAUUCGCAAGAACACCAGUGGCGAAGGCGGCUCACUGGUCCGGUACUGACGCUGAGGUGCGAAAGCGUGGGGAGCAAACAGG